rnacentral:rRNA from 1 species
CCUACGGGAGGCAGCAGUGGGGAAUUUUGGACAAUGGGCGCAAGCCUGAUCCAGCAAUGCCGCGUGCAGGAUGAAGGCCUUCGGGUUGUAAACUGCUUUUGUACGGAACGAAACGGUUCGCUUUAAUACAGUGGGCUAAUGACGGUACCGUAAGAAUAAGCACCGGCUAACUACGUGCCAGCAGCCGCGGUAAUACGUAGGGCGCGAGCGUUAAUCGGAAUUACUGGGCGUAAAGCGUGCGCAGGCGGUUUUGUAAGACAGAUGUGAAAUCCCCGGGCUCAACCUGGGACCUGCAUUUGUGACUGCAAGGCUAGAGUACGGUAGAGGGGGAUGGAAUUCCGCGUGUAGCAGUGAAAUGCGUAGAUAUGCGGAGGAACACCGAUGGCGAAGGCAAUCCCCUGGACCUGUACUGACGCUCAUGCACGAAAGCGUGGGGAGCAAACAGGAUUAGAUACCCUGGUAGUCCACGCCCUAAACGAUGUCAACUGGUUGUUGGGUCUUCACUGACUCAGUACGAAGCUAACGCGUGAAGUUGACCGCCUGGGGGAGGACGGUCCGGCGAGUUAGAACGUACGAAGUUAGAGUUGACGGCGNGAGACGNGCCGACGGACGACGACGAGGGAGGAGG